CCAAAUUUGGUUCCAGCUGUAAAGAUCAAGAGAGAGAGGCUGACAAGUCCCUUCCCAUGCCACAGAAAAUCACACGCUUGAUAUACAACCUUUGGACUGCAUCUUUGUGGCAUGGGAAGGGAUCUUUCACCCUUCCUCACUCUUGCUCUUUACAGCCGGAACCCAUUUUGGU
rnacentral:pre_miRNA from 1 species